UAGUGAAUUCCCUCAGUUUCUCUGGACAAGAGUUUUAGCAAGUACCAGAAACCGCAAAUCACAGCUGAAGAAGGGCCAAUAGUCUCACUUCUGCCUCAAAUUACCUGUUUCCAGAUUUGAAGACUGUGAUUACCCAAGUCUUUAAGAGAUAUAAUGAAGACAGCACUUUGCACCCUUGAAUUUUACUCAUUGCAUUACAAUAAAGAGACUCAGAGGCAUCUGAGCACAAAGUGGCUGGGGGGAAAUCUGCACUUCAAAUUGAAUGGAAACAUUCUACCAGGAAUGCUCCUGGUAGAAGCAUUCUUCUCUCUUAAAGAUCUAAAAGAUUUCUAAGAUCUCCAGACCAGCAGAGCAUGACGUUGUGGAAAAAGAAAGCAAAAAUUCUGUGACUCACUAAGGGUAAUGGUCCAAACAACAUAAUGUCAUCAAUGUAAUGUACCAGUGUGAUACCUAUGGAAGGGAAAGGCACUCAAGAUCCCUGUGAACUAAAUUAUGACAGAGGGCUGGAGAGCUGAUAUACCCCUAAGGUUUUAUAUUGGGCUGUGCAGUUUCUCCUGCAAGUCAGAAGAUGGAACCUGUAGGCUAUACCGGAAGCAUAAUGCUGACAUCUUCUCAGCCUCUGGAGGGGCCUCAGGAAACUUACAAUCAUGGUGGAAGACAAAGGAGGAGCAGGCAUGUCACAUAGUGAAAGCAGGAUCGAGAGAGAGAGCGAAGAGUUUUGAACAGCCAGAUCUCACAAGAAGUCACUCACUAUCAUGAGGAGAGCACCAAGAUGAUAGUGCUAAGCCAUUCAUGAGAAAUCUACCCCCACUAGGCCCCACCUCCAAUACUGGGGAUUACAAUUUAACAUGAAAUUUGGGUGAAGACACAUAUCCACACUAUAUCACAAAUGCUCUGAAUACCUGGACAUCUGCUUAAGCAUUUAGAAGAGAGGCCCUCCUACACUGGGUUCUCUGCACAGGAAGGGUGGGGAUGGUCAGGCUGCUGAUUCCAGUGAAUGAGUGCACUAAAUGCCUGGAGAUCUGCCUGAGCAUGAGCCAGAGAGGACCCCACUGGACCGUGAUCUAUGUUGAUGAAAGGUGAGGUGGCUCAGGCUGCUUGUGCAGGCAAGUGGUUGCUCCAAAUGCCUGCAUUUCUGCAUGGGGGUGGAGUGGAGAGAACCCCACUACACCACAGUCUCAAGAGAGCAGGCUGAGGCACCCUGCAGUGGCACGUGCAGACUGGCUCCAAGGUUGCCAAGCUGGCCCCAUCUGCAAGUCUCACAACCCAGGAGAAACCACAAAUGUAGCAGUUCUUCUGCUCCAGGCUUGUGACAAUUCCAGUGCCUACUGCUGAGGUACUUUCCACAGUUCUGGCUAUGGAGACCCCUACUUCACUCCAGAGCAGCUGCUCCAAUCUCUGGCCCAAGAUGAAAACGCCCACAUUACCAUGCUGCCAGGUCAACAAAGAAUGGCUUACUUUGUAUGUACCUAAAUUUAAAAUGUCACCCUCUUCUCAGUACUUGUUCUAGGGAAAUCUCUGUGCUUUUUUCGUGUCUUUCUCUCAAAAGAUCUCAUAGCCUGUCCCCCAAGUUAAUUCUAGAGCUUGGGAGAAACAAAGUGCUCUCCUUCAGUCUAGGUUGUUCCACUCUCCAGUGAAAAGGCAAGUGACGGGGAGAUUUUCUGCCUUUCUCAUGUGCUUCAUUCACUUUGAUCAGCUGGUUGUCAUCAUGGGCCUGUUUGCUGGCAUUCUUCUUCCCCAGAUCUAGAAUGUGCUUCAUGAUUCCAGCAGAUUCCCAUUUUCUUUCUUGAAUAAAAUCUCACAGAGUUGAUUUUCAUGCACUAUCUUGCUAUUUCCAAGUGUCUGAGGCACACUAACAGCCUCUAAUCUGCCAUCUUGGAAAAAAAUGAGAUUGAGUUGUCCUGACUUAUAUUUGAUUUAUGAAAGUUUGUCCUGACUUAUAUUGGAUUUAUAUAUAACUUAUUUAAAUCUCCUUAGACAGGUUUAGGAGAUCUAGAUAGUAUUUCUUUUGCACUUUUAUUUUUCAUUUUAAAUUUCAAGUCAAAAAAUUGAGUAAAAAUUAUGCUCAGUUUUUCUGUUUAUGUUGGUAUUUAAAUUUACACAUGUGGCAAAGCCCUUCAUAUCUCGUAUUGACAUAUAUACUCAGUUAACUAAUUCACAUUGACAGAUUAUUCUCCACUUUUUUGAUCUAACUGAAAAUUCCACUUUCCCUCAUUUUUUCAUAUCUAAGCAAUAUUUAGUCAUAACAACUUUAUUGUUUUAGUAUUUUUCUGGUUAUAAAAAUAGUGCAUUUAUAAGUGCAAAAUAUUAACAAUAAAAUAUAAAUUUUGUAUUUGCAAUAAUCUCAUUACUAAAAAGAUUUUUCUUUUUUUAUAUACCUUUUGUCCACUUGUAGAAUCACUUUUCCAUGCAUAUUCAUUAGUAUGUUUUGCUUAUUUUCAAAACAAUAUUUGUUUAUAUUGUUGGUGGUGGUAUUGAUGAUGAAUUUUCUUGUGUGCUCUACAAUCUUCCCCAUAGUAUUUAGAUAUUGAUCAAAAAUAUUUGCAGUAUAUCACUUGUGUAUUAAUUUUGUCUGUAAUCUCUUUGAGUAAAAAUUAUUUCCCUUAAUUUCAAAAAAUACAUUGAGAGUUUUCUAAUAUGUUUGGCUUUUUUGGAUUUAUUUUUAAAAUAUCCUUUUUCAAAUUUAUAAUUUACUAGCUAUAUUGUUAUAUUUCUCAUAUUUGGGAAUUUAAUCCACUGUAAUGCGUCACUGUAUUUGGCAUCAAGUAGGAAUGCAACCUACAUUUCUCUGUUGUUCUAUGUUUUCUAAAUUACCUACUAACAAUGAAUAAUUUCUCAAUGGGUUUCUGACUCCAAAUUUGUUCCUGAGUUCUAGAUUUAGUUUUAUUGACUUAUUUGUUCCCACAAAAUUAAAUGAGCUUUUAUUCCUAACUACAACUUUGGAACAUGCUUUAAAUUUGUGAGGAUAAGACCUUUCUUUACUUUUUUUGGUCAAAGUUAUAUUAUUGUUAUUUGAAUUUCUACAAUUAUAUUCUAACAUAACCCUUAUAAUUAAUCUAAAACCUCAUAGUAGAAAUUUUAAUUAGAAUUGUACUAUAUUCAUUAUGAAUAUUGUGCUAUGUAUCUUAUAAUAUUAUAUCCUUCCAUUCAUUAACAUAGUAAAUAUCUUCACUUAUUUUUCUGUUUGGAAGUUAAUAUUUCCCGUAAAAUUACUGGGGUUUGCUGUUAGAUCAAUUUUUACAUGCUUGAAGGUGAUUGUUUUUAUUGUGAAUGAAUUUUUUUAUUAUGUGUAUUACUGUGAUGGAAAAACCCUACUGUUUUUACAUUGGUCAUAUAUGUGUAUGUGUAUGUGUGUGUGUGUUUGUGUGUUGAGCCUUUUUAUUUUAAAAAUGUUGAUUAUUUUGUGUUUCUAUGUGUAAUCACAUAGCAUUUGCAAAAAAAAAUUGGUUUAUGCCUCCUAUUUCAAAACUUGUCCUUCUUGUUUCUGUUUACUUUUAGUACAUUGGUUAUACACUCUAAUACUGUACUGAAUAACAGCAAUAAUAACAGCCAUUUAUGUCUUGCUACUUAGUAAUAAAUAAAGUGAAUCUAACUUUUUUCCCUGGAAUAUCUUUUUAAAAUGUGUUCAAUAGAUGCCUUUUAUAAGUGAGCAAGGUGUUUACUAUCCCUGUUUGGGUGAAUUUUGUCCUAGAAAAAAUACUCAGAAAAAGAAAAUUAUAUCUCGACUCACUGUUGAACCUGUGCAUGACAGGGACAAAGCCUGCAUGCCAGUGUAUAAUAUCAGUCUUAUAUUUAUUCUUUGCAGAUAAUAUGGUUUUUAUAGCAGAUUUUAAGCUUUCCUCUUUAAUUGUAUUUUGCGGUUUUACUCCAACAGGUCAAAUUUGGAUAUAUAUGUUUCUUUAUCUUUUGUGUGAAUCUGAGUAUUUGUGGCUUCCAUAGAUUCUACAAAAUAUCUGUAUAAGGAUUGAUUACCUUCAUUGCUUAUAUUAUCUCUUUCUAUAAGUAAAGCGUAUAUUAAGUUUUUUCACUGUAUUCCUCCUGAAUAUUUAUCAUCUUUCAUGCAUUGCAUUUAUUUCUCUUUUAUAUUUUAUGUAUAAUUUUCUCAUACUUAUUCUUUGUAAACUUUCAUUGUCUAAUCAAAGAAAGAAUAUUUGUCUAAUCAUUUAAAUCAUUCUAUUGAAGUAUGGUUAAAACCACUAUUACUCUUCAUUAAUAAAA
rnacentral:lncRNA from 1 species